GAUUUAUUAAUUAUUAGUGAUAUGUUGAUUAAGCAAUAAGCAUUACAGUCCCCAUCAGUUGUGUCUCAGGCCUGCAAUGUAAAGGAGGAGAGUCAGACUCUGGGGCAACAACCUAGCAGCUGUAGGAGUGACAAGAAAAGAUUUCAUGCAAUUUUUCCAAAAAGGGGGAACUCCAAUGGAUUCCAGGACAACGGCUAUGGACAUGCAGAAGCCCAAGCAUGGCAAGGGUGAAGACCUCUAGUGACACUGACUUGCAAAAUACAAUGACGACACAGGUUAGCAAGAUCGUAUGACAUGUCACACUGACACCAUGCAGGUAUGCACCUCCCAAAAUCGGAGGUUUUGCUAGAGGAGUGUUUCUGUGCGCAUCCUCCAUCUGAGCAAAGGCCGCUAGCAGCAUCUAAGCACUGAGUGCCCUGAACUGAAGUAGCCUUGAACGGUGAUGUUAAGAGAGUACAGUUCAGUCCUUGUCUCAGAACAGGUGCGAAUGCACCUAACCCUUAACAACUCUUGGUGCACUGUGGAAAUGCUGUUCUCUAGGCUGGGGAGCGGUGGAGCGCUAAGGGAGCAUAGGAUUUUGAGCCCCAAACCCCACAGAUUACACUGAAGGGGACCACUGUAAAACAGUUUUGGUUUUAGUGCAGGUCAUUUCCCAAGUGCCUGUAAGCUUAAAUCUUUCAAAGCUGCAUUUAUCUUUUCCUACUGGGUUUAGAGUGCCUCUUUUAUGUUUGUGUGGCUGACAGGAAGGUGAAUGGGCUGAACAGCCACAGAAAGAUCUGAACUCCUACUUAUCGCAGGCUAAUUUAGUUUUUAAA